rnacentral:lncRNA from 1 species
ACUUAACCUGUGUCUAAAGCACUGCUGGCCGCCGAUUCUACGCCGCCCGGUCGCCAGGGAGAGUGAAUACAGCUAGGGACGUGAAAGAACGGGGAAGAUAACCGAAGGGUGGUUUGAGAAACCCACCAGGCCAACUGGGAAUUAGAAUUGAUUCAAAACUCCAUUGAUCGCCUGACCUCCAUAAGCUCCUACUCUGCUGCAGUUGAGUGCUGCCACUUAAAUCCUGCAGUCCCGAGAUCCGGUUAUAACCAAUGCAUUUAGAUUUUUCAUUUCGGUGGCAACAAUCUUCAUUGUAAGUUCUGUCCUACAGAGAAGUGUGGUGAUCAAGCUCUUUGGAGAUACUGGGACUCCUCUCACAAAUGUAUGUCUCACAGUUAUGAUGAAUGGUGUAUCUCCUGGAUCUUCCUCAGUUGACAAACAUCAGAAGUGUUUCAAUAAAGAAAAGUCUAAGACAAGGGCCGGCAAGGCCUCUCCCAUUUAUCACUGUGAGGGAUGCCUGAGUCUGGACCAGAAGAGAGAAGAGGAGGAAACAGGAAAGAAUGUAAGUCAAAGAAUUUGAACUGUAGUUAUCCACAGAGGCCAUGAGUACAAAUAGAAAAGCAGGGUAAUCGAUUUCAACUUUCAGAACAAAAACUGUUUAACAACAUUCAGGAAAUUGAGCAAAUGCACAUUGUAUAUAUAAUAAAUCUUGAAUCUUUCAUACUAAUAAUAAACAUACAGUAACAAUAACAAAGAGUCAGCCUCCAUCCACAUUAGCAAACGUGCCAUGAAAUCGACUUAGAAGACAUUCCCAGGCCUAUGUGAAACCAUAAAACUUUACUGAAAACCAUAAAAAGACACAUUGAGGCCGGGCGUGGUGGCUCACACCUGUAAUCCCAACACUUUGGGAGGCCAAGGUGGGCAGAUCAUGAGGUCAAGAGAUUCAGACCAUCCUGGCCAGCAUGGUGAAACCCCAUCUCUAGUAAAAAUACAAAAGUUAGCUGGGCGUGGUGGUGCGUGUCUGUAGUCCUAGCUACUCGGGAGGUUGAGGCAGGAGAAUCGCUUGAACCCAGGAGUUGGAGGUUGCAGUGAGCCAAGAUCGCGCCACUGCACUCCAGCCUGGGCAACAGAGUGAGACUCCAUCUCAAAAAAAAAGACACAUCAAAGACUAACAAACCAAAUCCUUACAUUAGAAGAAGUAGUGAAAUAAAGAUACUAAAGAUCCAGACUCAGUGCACUUCAAACUUUUUGAAAUAGCUAUUCUAACAGAUGUGAGGUGACAUCUCAUUCUGGUUUUAAUUUGCAUUUCUCUGAUGAUUAUUGAACUUGGGCUUUUGUUCAUGUACUUUUUGCUCAUAUGCAUGUCUUCUUUGAGAAAUGUCUAUAUCAAGUCCUUUGCUAAUAUUUUAUAGUAUUUGUUUUCUUGCUGUUGGACUGUUUGAGUUUUUAUACAUUUGUGAUAUUAAUGCAUUAUCAGACGUAUAGUAUAGAAAUGUUUUCUGUCAUGCAGAUGC